UCCUCUCAGGAACGUUCGACGGGCUCGCACUCUUGCUUGUACGACGCAUUUGUUUCCCGUCCGAAGGACGCAGCAACCGGUUGGGAGACGGCCUGAAGGUCGGACGCUGGUAGGUGGCCGGUGGCGCUCUCGGGUGUCGCCGGUGACUAGCCGGUUCGGCGAUGGCACGUAGCCCGACCGUGGUGACGCGAGGCCCCUCAUGGGCUUCACCGCCUCCUCCCAUCARUGGGAUGUCGGACAGAUCGKGGCAGUGGUUCUUCGWGAUCCUUGGGCGCACARACSGACUYUGUGGCCUCUCGGACSGGAGUCCUCGUUGGCCGCGUUGGAUCCGUUGGAGGCUGGCGGUUCKCUGCRAGUAKAUCGGUCACCCACCCGACCCGUCUUGAAACACGGACCAAGGAGUCUAACAUGUGUGCRAGUCAAUGGGUCUKGAAUAASCCCAGAGGCGCAAUGAAAGCAAAGGUCGGAGUGACUCCGGUUGUGUUGGGAUCCCCGYUUUAAAGAGCGGGGCGCACCAACGACCCGUCCUAUCCGAUUCAUCGGUUGGGCGGAGUCUGAGCAUACACGUUGGGACCCGAAAGAUGGUGACCUAUGCCCG
rnacentral:rRNA from 2 species